GUGGGGAAUAUUCCGCAAUGGACGAAAGUCUGACGGAGCAACGCCGCGUGAGUGAUGAAGGUUUUCGGACUGUAAAGCUCUGUUGUUUAGGACGAAAGUGCCUGUUGCAAAUAGUUACAGGUAUUGACGGUACUGAACGAGGAAGCCACGGCUAACUACGUGCCAGCAGCCGCGGUAAUACGUAGGUGGCAAGCGUUGUCCGGAUUUACUGGGUGUAAAGGGCGUGUAGGCGGGUUAGUAAGUUGGAUGUGAAAUACCGCGGCUCAACCGCGGGGCUGCAUCCAAAACUAUUAAUCUUGAGUGUCGGAGAGGAAAGCGGAAUUCCUAGUGUAGCGGUGAAAUGCGUAGAUAUUAGGAGGAACACCGGUGGCGAAGGCGGCUUUCUGGACGAUAACUGACGCUGAGGCGCGAAAGCGUGGGGAGCAAACAGGAUUAGAAACCCCGGUAGUCC
rnacentral:rRNA from 1 species